GACAGAGGCCUCGAGCGUUAGGCGGAAUCACUGGGCUUAAAGCGUGUGUAGGCGGACCCCUAAGUGUCUUGUGAAAUCCCACGGCUCACCCGUGGAACCGCUGGGCAUACUGGGGGUCUUGGGCCAUUCAGGGGCGACUGGAACAAGCGGUGGAGCGGUGAGAUGCGUAGAUAUCGCUUGGAACGCCGACGGUGAAAACAGGUCGCUGGGAAUGUGCCGACGCUGAGACACGAAAGCCAGGGGAGCAAACGGG
rnacentral:rRNA from 1 species